GGGGCUGAAUUUUAAGCUCGACGUUGGUACCUUUCGGUCAUGAAUGCAGGUCGCUUGUCAGCGUUAUAGGCAAAACUCAGUAAUUGCAAAAUUCACUGAUAAGCUAGUUAGCCUCAAAGAGAGUGCGCAAGCAUUUCUUUUUGGACGCCAGCUGGCAUACAACGUAGCCUAAACACUACGUAACGCCCUAUACGAUUCCAGAUGGUGUAGGUAGCGUUUUAUAUUUCUGGACGCUCGCAUGGAACUAUUCAAACCAUGCGCUAAGACUAGGAUUGCUCACUCGAUAUGUUUGUCUGUUUCUAAACCUAAGCGCUAAGACAUUAAGAUAGACUAAACCUGUAGUAUUCUGACUGACAGUCUGACGGACGUGGGGGCAGUACCCACCAGCUCCACCA
rnacentral:tmRNA from 1 species